rnacentral:lncRNA from 1 species
CCUCAUUCCUGGCCCCCAAGCCCUUGGCAACUACAAUUCUACUUUCUGCUUCUAUCAUUUGACUACUUUAGAUACCUCAUGUUCUAGAGGUCACCGCCUUUCCUUGGUUCAUGGCUGCUUUCCUUCAUCUUCAAAGCCAGAAACAUUGGGCCAAGCCCUUCUGUCUCUCCCUCUUCUACUUUAAAAGACCCUUGUGGCCCAGCCUGGCCAACAUGGCUCACAGAAGGGAGGCAGGCACAGAUGGAAAAACGUAAGUUACUUACCCUUUUGGUCUGAAAAACACUGCAAACAGUAAUCAUACUUUUAGAGCAUCAAAUACGGGGCUGGAGCCUGGGCUGUGAUAGAAAUAACUUCGUCUUUUCUAAUAACAUGACCUUAACAGAACAGACAAUGGAGACAGAGGGAAAAGCAGCAGCCAGAAAUUCUUGUAAAGGUUCCAGAAGGUGAACCAUGCUUUUUGGUUUUUCACCUAUGUCAUGCUGAUAUUAAGCAGUCAGAUUAUAUAGUAUUUUUGUCCCUUCCUCAGGGAAGCCUUCUCUGGUUACCCCUUAGAUCAGUAGAGGUCACAAAGAUAUACUAUCAUGGAAUGGUAUGGUUCUCCUUCACAGCACUUAUAACUCCCAUUACAGACUAUUUUUGUAAUUGUUUAAUGUGCCCUCCACGUGAUUACCAUGCUUACCACUGCAUCCUUAGCUUCUACCACAGUGAUUGGCCCCUAUUAGACAAUUAAAAUAUUUGUUGAACUGAAUUGAAUAAAGCUUUGGGGGGCACAGAGCAGCUGCUAUGGUUUUUGUUUGUUUUUGUUGUU